GAGUGGCCACGCUUCGGAAACAAGGCGUAUUCUGUCGGCAGCCGUAAACUAAAUGGGAUUAAAGCUAAGGAGGCCUGUACAUCUAAGGGAGCAUAUUUGGCAGAAAUAGAAAACAAAGAAGAAAACACCUGGAUAACGGAAUAUUUACUGAAGCCUUUAUAUGAAGGUAAAGAUAUAACCGAAUGGACUUUAUCCGUUUUGUGGAUUGGUGGAUAUUGUUCAGAAGAAGAUUCGUGUCUGUGGCAAGGCAGCAAGAAAAUUCUUUAUGACAACUGGCACACUGGUGAUCCAAGUGGUGACGGACUAUGUGUAUUUCUUGCCAGAAGUGGGAAAUGGGCUGACUUUCCUUGUGAACGUGAAAGAUUCUACGUAUGUGAAAAGUCCGUUUAAUAUUCGUCAAAAAAAAAAAAAACAACAGUUUGAGUGAUGAUUUUUCUAACUUGCAAAUCUAGAGCUUCAUGAAAUGAAUGUGU